rnacentral:tRNA from 1 species
GCCAGAGUGGCAUAGUGAAGCAUUGGAUUAUGACUUUGGGGACCAGGGUUCAAAUCCCUGCUCAGUCA